rnacentral:rRNA from 1 species
UACGUAGGGGGCUAGCGUUGUCCGGAUUUAUUGGGCGUAAAGAGCGUGUAGGCGGCCAUGUAGGUCCGGUGUGAAAACUCGAGGCUUAACCUCGAGAUGUCAUCGGAAACCAUUUGGCUAGAGUCCGGAAGAGGAGAGUGGAAUUCCUGGUGUAGCGGUGAAAUGCGCAGAUAUCAGGAGGAACACCGGUGGCGAAGGCGGGUCUCUGGGCCGUUACUGACGCUGAGGAGCGAAAGCGUGGGGAGCGAACAGG